rfam:Capsicum annuum cultivar Zunla-1 chromosome 1, whole genome shotgun sequence
AUGUUAUGAUUUGGACAUUGUGCCAGCUUCUUCUUGAACCUCUCCCAAGUUUCAUACAAAGACUCAUUUGGAAGUUGCCUAAAAUUGUUGAUCUCAUCCCUCAACUG